CCUACGGGAGGCAGCAGUGGGGAAUUUUGGACAAUGGGCGCAAGCCUGAUCCAGCCAUGCCGCGUGUGGGAAGAAGGCCUUCGGGUUGUAAACCACUUUUGUCAGGGAAGAAACGGCUUUUUCUAAUACAGAGAGCUAAUGACGGUACCUGAAGAAUAAGCACCGGCUAACUACGUGCCAGCAGCCGCGGUAAUACGUAGGGUGCAAGCGUUAAUCGGAAUUACUGGGCGUAAAGCGUGCGCAGGCGGCUUUGCAAGACAGAUGUGAAAUCCCCGGGCUCAACCUGGGAACUGCAUUUGUGACUGCAUGGUUAGAGUACGGUAGAGGGGGAUGGAAUUCCGCGUGUAGCAGUGAAAUGCGUAGAUAUGCGGAGGAACACCGAUGGCGAAGGCAAUCCCCUGGACCUGUACUGACGCUCAUGCACGAAAGCGUGGGGAGCAAACAGGAUUAGAUACCCUGGUAGUCCACGCCCUAAACGAUGUCAACUGGUUGUUGGACGGCUUGCUGUUCAGUAACGAAGCUAACGCGUGAAGUUGACCGCCUGGGGAGUACGGCCGCAAGGUUGAAACUUAAANGAAUUGACGG
rnacentral:rRNA from 1 species